rnacentral:tRNA from 2 species
GAUCCUGUAGCUCAGCUGGGAGAGCGCUACCUUCACACGGUAGAAGUCGUUGGUUCGAGUCCAAUCAGGAUCACCA